rnacentral:rRNA from 1 species
AAUGAACGCUGGCGGCGUGCCUAACACAUGCAAGUCGAGCGAGAAAGUCCCUUCGGGGAUGAGUACAGCGGCGGACGGGUGAGUAAUACGUGAGAAUCUGCCCUUUAGUGAAGAAUACCCUCGAGAAAUCGAGGUUAAUACUGCAUACGUCCCUUCGGGGAGAAAGGCGGCUUUUAUGCUGUCGCUAAAGGAUGAGCUUACGUGCUAUCAGCUAGUUGGUGAGGUAAUGGCUCACCAAGGCUAUGACGGCUAACCGGCCUGAGAGGGUGUACGGUCACACUGGAACUGAGACACGGUCCAGACUCCUACGGGAGGCAGCAGUGGGGAAUAUUGCGCAAUGGGCGAAAGCCUGACGCAGCGACGCCGCGUGGAGGAUGACGGUCUUCGGAUUGUAAACUCCUGUUAAGCGGGAAGAAAGACCUUUCAAUAAUACUGAAGGGUUAUGACGGUACCGCUAGAGAAAGCACCGGCUAACUUCGUGCCAGCAGCCGCGGUAAUAC